CGGUGAAUACGUUCCCGGGCCUUGUACACACCGCCCGUCAAGCCAUGGAAAUCGGGAGUGCCUAAAGUCGAUUGUCGCAAGGCGUCGCCUAGGGUAAAACCGGUAACUGGGCU
rnacentral:rRNA from 1 species